rnacentral:rRNA from 1 species
GAUGAACGCUGGCGGCGUGCCUAAUACAUGCAAGUCGAGCGAACAGACCAGGAGCUUGCUCCUCUUACGUUAGCGGCGGACGGGUGAGUAACACGUGGAUAACCUACCUAUAAGACUGGGAUAACUUCGGGAAACCGGAGCUCAUACCGGAUAAUAUAUUGAACCGCAUGGUUCAAUAGUGAAAGACGGUUUUGCUUUCACUUAUAGAUGGAUCCGCGCCUCAUUAGCUAGUUGGUAAGGUAACGGCUUACCAAGGCAACGAUGCGUAGCCGACCUGAGAGGGUGAUCAGCCCCACUGUAACUGAGACACGGCCCAGACCCCGACGAGAGGCAGCAGUAGCGAAUCUGCGGCAAGGAGCGAAAGCCUGACGGGGCAACGCCGCGUGAGUGAUGAAGGUGUACGGAUCGUAAAACUCUGGUAUUAGGGAAGAACAAAGGUGUAAGUAACUAUGCACGUCUUGACGGUACAUAAUCAGAAAGCCACGGCUAACUACGUG